GAUUAUGAGAGUUUGAUCCUGGCUCAGGACGAACGCUGGCGGCGUGCCUAAUACAUGCAAGUCGAACGCUUCUUUUUCCACCGGAGCUUGCUCCACCGGAAAAAGAGGAGUGGCGAACGGGUGAGUAACACGUGGGUAACCUGCCCAUCAGAAGGGGAUAACACUUGGAAACAGGUGCUAAUACCGUAUAACAAUCGAAACCGCAUGGUUUUGAUUUGAAAGGCGCUUUCGGGUGUCGCUGAUGGAUGGACCCGCGGUGCAUUAGCUAGUUGGUGAGGUAACGGCUCACCAAGGCCACGAUGCAUAGCCGACCUGAGAGGGUGAUCGGCCACAUUGGGACUGAGACACGGCCCAAACUCCUACGGGAGGCAGCAGUAGGGAAUCUUCGGCAAUGGACGAAAGUCUGACCGAGCAACGCCGCGUGAGUGAAGAAGGUUUUCGGAUCGUAAAACUCUGUUGUUAGAGAAGAACAAGGAUGAGAGUAACUGUUCAUCCCUUGACGGUAUCUAACCAGAAAGCCACGGCUAACUACGUGCCAGCAGCCGCGGUAAUACGUAGGUGGCAAGCGUUGUCCGGAUUUAUUGGGCGUAAAGCGAGCGCAGGCGGUUUCUUAAGUCUGAUGUGAAAGCCCCCGGCUCAACCGGGGAGGGUCAUUGGAAACUGGGAGACUUGAGUGCAGAAGAGGAGAGUGGAAUUCCAUGUGUAGCGGUGAAAUGCGUAGAUAUAUGGAGGAACACCAGUGGCGAAGGCGGCUCUCUGGUCUGUAACUGACGCUGAGGCUCGAAAGCGUGGGGAGCAAACAGGAUUAGAUACCCUGGUAGUCCACGCCGUAAACGAUGAGUGCUAAGUGUUGGAGGGUUUCCGCCCUUCAGUGCUGCAGCUAACGCAUUAAGCACUCCGCCUGGGGAGUACGACCGCAAGGUUGAAACUCAAAGGAAUUGACGGGGGCCCGCACAAGCGGUGGAGCAUGUGGUUUAAUUCGAAGCAACGCGAAGAACCUUACCAGGUCUUGACAUCCUUUGACCACUCUAGAGAUAGAGCUUCCCCUUCGGGGGCAAAGUGACAGGUGGUGCAUGGUUGUCGUCAGCUCGUGUCGUGAGAUGUUGGGUUAAGUCCCGCAACGAGCGCAACCCUUAUUGUUAGUUGCCAUCAUUCAGUUGGGCACUCUAGCAAGACUGCCGGUGACAAACCGGAGGAAGGUGGGGAUGACGUCAAAUCAUCAUGCCCCUUAUGACCUGGGCUACACACGUGCUACAAUGGGAAGUACAACGAGUCGCGAAGUCGCGAGGCUAAGCUAAUCUCUUAAAGCUUCUCUCAGUUCGGAUUGCAGGCUGCAACUCGCCUGCAUGAAGCCGGAAUCGCUAGUAAUCGCGGAUCAGCACGCCGCGGUGAAUACGUUCCCGGGCCUUGUACACACCGCCCGUCACACCACGAGAGUUUGUAACACCCGAAGUCGGUGAGGUAACCUUUUGGAGCCAGCCGCCUAAGGUGGGAUAGAUGAUUGGGGUGAAGUCGUAACAAGGUAGCCGUAUCGGAAGGUGCGGCUGGAUCACCUCCUUU
rnacentral:rRNA from 1 species